rnacentral:rRNA from 1 species
UACGUAGGGGGCAAGCGUUGUCCGGAUUCAUUGGGCGUAAAGAGCUCGUAGGCGGCUUGGCAAGUCGGGUGUGAAAACUCCAGGCUCAACCUGGAGACGCCACCCGAUACUGCCAUGGCUAGAGUCCGGUAGGGGACCACGGAAUUCCUGGUGUAGCGGUGAAAUGCGCAGAUAUCAGGAGGAACACCGGUGGCGAAGGCGGUGGUCUGGGCCGGAACUGACGCUGAGGGGCGAAAGCGUGGGGAGCGAACAGG